rnacentral:misc_RNA from 1 species
GGAAGUAAAAGUCAUAACAAGGUCUCCGUAGGUGAACCUGCGGAGGGAUCAUUACAGAGUUCAUGCCCUACCGGGUAGAUCUCCCACCCUAUGUUAUUAUUACUUUGUUGCUUUGGCGGGCCGUUAGGCUCCGGCCCGACUACCGGCCCCGGCUGGUAAGCGCCCGCCAGAGGACCCAAAACCCUGAAUAUUAGUGUCGUCUGAGUACUAUAUAAUAGUUAAAACCUUCAACAACGGAUCUCUUGGUUCUG